GGGGCAGCAUUUUAGUUUGCUUGCAAACUGAAGAUGGCGACCGGCGCACGGGUGAGUAACACGUAUCCAACCUGCCGAUAACUCCGGGAUAGCCUUUCGAAAGAAAGAUUAAUACCGGAUGGCAUACGAAUAUCGCAUGAUAUUUUUAUUAAAGAAUUUCGGUUAUCGAUGGGGAUGCGUUCCAUUAGUUUGUUGGCGGGGUAACGGCCCACCAAGACUACGAUGGAUAGGGGUUCUGAGAGGAAGGUCCCCCACAUUGGAACUGAGACACGGUCCAAACUCCUACGGGAGGCAGCAGUGAGGAAUAUUGGUCAAUGGGCGAGAGCCUGAACCAGCCAAGUAGCGUGAAGGAUGAAGGCUCUAUGGGUCGUAAACUUCUUUUAUAUGGGAAUAAAGUUUUCCACGUGUGGAAUUUUGUAUGUACCAUAUGAAUAAGGAUCGGCUAACUCCGUGCCAGCAGCCGCGGUAAUACGGAGGAUCCGAGCGUUAUCCGGAUUUAUUGGGUUUAAAGGGAGCGUAGGUGGAUUGUUAAGUCAGUUGUAAAAGUUUGCGGCUCAACCGUAAAAUUGCAGUUGAAACUGGCAGUCUUGAGUACAGUAGAGGUGGGCGGAAUUCGUGGUGUAGCGGUGAAAUGCUUAGAUAUCACGAAGAACUCCGAUUG
rnacentral:rRNA from 1 species